UACGUAGGGGGCAAGCGUUGUCCGGAUUUAUUGGGCGUAAAGAGCGUGUGAGGCGGCUGGUAGGUCCGCUGUGAAAACUCGAGGCUCAACCUCGAGAUGUCGGCGGAAACCACUUGGCUAGAGUCCGGAAGAGGAGAGUGGAAUUCCCGGUGUAGCGGUGAAAUGCGCAGAUAUCGGGAAGAACACCUAUGGCGAAGGCAGCUCUCUGGGACGGUACUGACGCUGAGACGCGAAAGCGUGGGGAGCGAACAGG
rnacentral:rRNA from 1 species